GUACUGAAAGCAUAUAAGUACGAAGCCCAUCCCAAGAUUAGAUAUACUUGUGUAACUUGAUUACAUGGGAGGUCCGCGGAAGACUACCGCGUUGAUAGACCCUAGGUGUUAGUAUAGUAAUAUAUUUAGCCGAGGGGUACUAAUUGACCAAAAGCUUU
rnacentral:rRNA from 1 species